rnacentral:rRNA from 1 species
CGGACGGGUGAGUAACGCGUAGGCAACCUGCCCUUUGCACAGGGAUAGCCAUUGGAAACGAUGAUUAAAACCUGAUAACACCAUUUUAUCACAUGGAAAGAUGGUCAAAGAUUUAUCGGCAAAGGAUGGGCCUGCGUCUGAUUAGCUAGUUGGUGAGGUAACGGCUCACCAAGGCGACGAUCAGUAGCCGACCUGAGAGGGUGAUCGGCCACAUUGGAACUGAGACACGGUCCAAACUCCUACGGAAGGCAGCAG